rnacentral:lncRNA from 10 species
CAUGUAUGGUAUCUGUAUCUAUGUCAAGACCUGGGCUUUGCUCCACUUGGAGUCAGCUGAUUGGCAGGAGGGCAUCUGAAAUUGAGAGGAGGUUUCAGGCCGUUUACCCAGCCCUUUAGUGGGGAUCUGUCCGGGACUCUGCAGUCUGAACCUGCAACUGUAAAAAUAUGAAGCUAGAAAAGUCUUUCCAACCCACAGAGGUCUGGUUGAAGGACAUGAGCAGUGCAGAACAGAAGAGAGACAACAAAUAAAAGUGGUCAUCACUGUUUCAACUGGGAAGAGCAGUAUGGAUAUAGAAACCAAGUCAGGAGGGGAAACAAGGCAUGGUCCCUGGAAACAACCCUGGUGCUGUCCAGCAGAAUACAAGGUUCCAUAAAAUUCCUGAUGGAGAUCGUGGAGUGAAAAGAAAUUAUCACAGAAUUCCAACAAGGCUUGAAGGCAGAAUUAUCUUUAGAAAACUAAGCCUGUAUUAAUAAAAAAAACAUAAUAUGAAAAUAUAAUUUAUAUUUCUUGUCACUAACAUUCCUC